GACUUCUCUCAACCACAUCGAUCAUGAAUGUGGCUUGGAUGUGGGGGUUGCAGGCUUCUUCUACAAUGAGGUUCCGGCUCCCCUGAAAUGCAUUAGUGGUGUCUGAGCUGCUAUUUGGUGUGAUAAUUUAUCUAUGCCUUUGGUAAUGCUGAUCAGCACCGCUUAUAACAAAACCGUAAUUUGACAA
rnacentral:misc_RNA from 1 species